GACGAACGCUGGCGGCGUGCUUAACACAUGCAAGUCGAACGGAAAGGCCCCUUUGGGGGUACUCGAUUGGCUAACGGGUGAGUAACACGUGCGUAACUUACCCUCGCCUUCGUUAUAACUUCAGUAAACUGGGGCUAAUACCGGCUAGGAAUCCUUGCUUCAUGCAGGGGGUUGGAAAGAUUCUGCGGUUUGGGAUGGACUCGCGGCUUAUCAACCUGUUUGUGGGGGAGUGGCUUACCAAGGCUUUGACGGGUAGCCGGCCUGGGAGGGCGACCGGCCACCUUGGGAAUGGGGUAAGGGCCCGACUCCUAAGGGGGGGAACAGGGGGGAAUAUUGCAAAAUGGGCGGAAGCCUGAUGCAGCAAAGGCGCGUGCGGGAUGACGGGCUUCGGGUUGUAAACCGCUUUCAGCAGGGGAGGAGCUGGUGGUGACGGUAACUGGAGAAGAAGCACCGGCUAACUACGUG
rnacentral:rRNA from 1 species